rnacentral:RNase_P_RNA from 1 species
AGCGGAGGCCGUUCUAUCGCUCGGCCCCGUAAAAGGGGACUGAGAGGAAAGUCCGGGCAGCACGAGCCACCAUGCUUCCUAACGGGAAGGGGCCAUUACGGGUAACCGUGUGGCCACAGCGAGCGCCACAGAAAAGAAACCGCCUUUCGAGAGGUGAAAGGUUAUUGGUUAUAGGUUAUGGGUUAUAGUCACUGCCGCAUACAUGUGGAUGUAUCAGUUUCGCCCAACCUCCGUAACCUAUAACCAAUAACCCAUAACCCUUGAUGGGUAAGGGUGAAAACGCGGGGUAAGAGCCCACGACGUGUUCUGGUGACGGGCACGAUGGCAAGCCUCAUGGGCUGAAAGACCAUGUAUACCAGCCGGUCGGGCGACCGAGGGCAGGCUCGCCCUCAAAAGACGAGAGUACUUCCGUCCAAGGUUGGAGGGUGGGUUGAUUGAGACCGUCGGUGACGGCGGCCCUAGAUUAAUGAUAGAACACGACAGAACCCGGCUUACAGACCUUCGCUUUUU